GACGAACGCUGGCGGCGCGCCUAACACAUGCAAGUCGAACGAGCGAGAGAGAGCUUGCUUUCUCGAGCGAGUGGCGAACGGGUGAGUAACGCGUGAGGAACCUGCCUCAAAGAGGGGGACAACAGUUGGAAACGACUGCUAAUACCGCAUAAGCCCACGGCUCGGCAUCGAGCAGAGGGAAAAGGAGUGAUCCGCUUUGAGAUGGCCUCGCGUCCGAUUAGCUAGUUGGUGAGGUAACGGCCCACCAAGGCAACGAUCGGUAGCCGGACUGAGAGGUUGAACGGCCACAUUGGGACUGAGACACGGCCCAGACUCCUACGGGAGGCAGCAGUGGGGAAUAUUGCACAAUGGGGGAAACCCUGAUGCAGCGACGCCGCGUGAGUGAUGAAGUAUUUCGGUAUGUAAAACUCUAUCAGCAGGGAAGAUAAUGACGGUACCUGACUAGGAAGCACCGGCUAAAUACGUG
rnacentral:rRNA from 1 species